rnacentral:rRNA from 1 species
CUACGUGCCAGCAGCCGCGGUAAUACGGAAGGUCCAGGCGUUAUCCGGAUUUAUUGGGUUUAAAGGGAGCGUAGGCUGGAGAUUAAGUGUGUUGUGAAAUGUAGACGCUCAACGUCUGAAUUGCAGCGCAUACUGGUUUCCUUGAGUACGCACAACGUUGGCGGAAUUCGUCGUGUAGCGGUGAAAUGCUUAGAUAUGACGAAGAACUCCGAUUGCGAAGGCAGCUGACGGGAGCGCAACUGACGCUUAAGCUCGAAGGUGCGGGUAUCAAACAGGAUUAGAUACCCUGGUAGUCCGCACAGUAAACGAUGGAUGCCCGCUGUUGGUACCUAGUAUCAGCGGCUAAGCGAAAGCAUUAAGCAUCCCACCUGGGGAGUACGCCGGCAACGGUGAAACUCAAAGGAAUUGACGGGGGCCCGCACAAGCGGAGGAACAUGUGGUUUAAUUCGAUGAUACGCGAGGAACCUUACCCGGGCUUGAA